GGGGCGGCAGCUACCAUCGGCAGGAACCAUGAAGGACUCUUCCUGGGAUCUUCGGCAAUGGUAUUUGAUGAAAUAACCGAUCCACCAAUGUUAGAAGCUUUAGCCUGCCGCGAGGCUCUUGCUCUAGCGCAGGAUCUUUAUGCAGAUCACAUUGUUAUUGCAUGUGACUGUAAAACUGUCGUGGAAGAAAUCAAAUCGGGGUCAGAAGGAAGAUAUAGCAAUAUUAUCAAGGAGAUACAAGCCCAGACAAGACUUUUUGUUCGAUGUGACUUCAUCUUUGAAGGUCGAAAAGAAAAUGUAGAUGCUCAUAAUUUAGCAAACUUUUCAACUUUUUUAGAUCAGGGGCGCCAUGUAUGGCUGUGA
rnacentral:rRNA from 1 species